GAUGAACGCUGGCGGCGUGCCUAAUACAUGCAAGUCGAGCGAACGGACGAGAAGCUUGCUUUUCUGAUGUUAGCGGCGGACGGGUGAGUAACACGUGGAUAACCUACCUAUAAGACUGGGAUAACUUCGGGACACCGGAGCUAAUACCGGAUGAUAUUUUGAACCGCAUGGUUCAAAAGUGAAAGACGGUCUUGCUGUCACUUAUAGAUGGAUCCGCGCUGCAUUAGCUAGUUGGUAAGGUAACGGCUUACCAAGGCAACGAUGCAUAGCCGACCUGAGAGGGUGGUCGGCCACACUGGAACUGAGACACGGCCCAGACUCCUACGGGAGGCAGCAGUAGGGAAUCUUCCGCAAUGGGCGAAAGCCUGACGGAGCAACGCCGCGUGAGUGAUGAAGGUCUUCGGAUCGUAAAACUCUGUUAUUAGGGAAGAACAUAUGUGUAAGUAACUGUGCACAUCUUGACGGUACCUAAUCAGAAAGCCACGGCUAACUACGUG
rnacentral:rRNA from 1 species